GACGAACGCUGGCGGCGUGCUUAACACAUGCAAGUCGAACGGAAAGGCCCUGCUUUUGUGGGGUGCUCGAGUGGCGAACGGGUGAGUAACACGUGAGUAACCUGCCCUUGACUUUGGGAUAACUUCAGGAAACUGGGGCUAAUACCGGAUAGGAGCUCCUGCUGCAUGGUGGGGGUUGGAAAGUUUCGGCGGUUGGGGAUGGACUCGCGGCUUAUCAGCUUGUUGGUGGGGUAGUGGCUUACCAAGGCUUUGACGGGUAGCCGGCCUGAGAGGGUGACCGGCCACAUUGGGACUGAGAUACGGCCCAGACUGCUACGGGAGGCAGCAGUGGGGAAUUUUGCACAAUGGGCGGAAGCCUGAUGCAGCAACGCCGCGUGCGGGAUGACGGCCGUCGGGUUGUAAACCGCUUUCGCCUGUGACGAAGCGUGAGUGACGGUAAUGGGUAAAGAAGCACCGGCUAACUACGUG
rnacentral:rRNA from 1 species